rnacentral:rRNA from 1 species
UACGUAGGGUGCGAGCGUUGUCCGGAAUUACUGGGCGUAAAGAGCUCGUAGGUGGUUUGUCGCGUUGUUCGUGAAAACUCACAACUCAAUUGUGGGCGUGCGGGCGAUACGGGCAGACUGGAGUACUGCAGGGGAGACUGGAAUUCCUGGUGUAGCGGUGGAAUGCGCAGAUAUCAGGAGGAACACCGGUGGCGAAGGCGGGUCUCUGGGC